rnacentral:rRNA from 1 species
AGGACGAACGCUGGCGGCGUGCUUAACACAUGCAAGUCGAACGAGGCCCUACCUUCGGGUAGGUGACCUAGUGGCGAACGGGUGAGUAACACGUGGGCAACCUACCCUCAGCUCUGGGAUAACCCCGGGAAACCGGAGCUAAUACCGGAUAUGACCUUGAACGACAUCGUUCUUGGUGGAAAGUUUUUCGGCUGAGGAUGGGCCCGCGGCCUAUCAGCUUGUUGGUGGGGUAAUGGCCCACCAAGGCGACGACGGGUAGCCGGCCUGAGAGGGCGAUCGGCCACACUGGGACUGAGACACGGCCCAGACUCCUACGGGAGGCAGCAGUGGGGAAUCUUGCGCAAUGGGCGAAAGCCUGACGCAGCGACGCCGCGUGGGGGAUGAAGGCCUUCGGGUUGUAAACCCUUUCAGCAGGGACGAAGCGAAAGUGACGGUACCUGCAGAAGAAGCGCCGGCUAACUACGUGCCAGCAGCCAC